rnacentral:tRNA from 3 species
GCCCAAGUGGUGGAAUGGUAGACACGUACGCUUCAGGUGCGUAUGACCGUAAGGUUGUGGAGGUUCAACUCCUCUCUUGGGCA